CCUACGGGAGGCUGCAGUGGGGAAUAUUGCACAAUGGGGGAAACCCUGAUGCAGCGACGCCGCGUGGGGGAAGAAGUAAUUCGUUACGUAAAGCUCUAUCAGCAGGGAAGAAAAUGACGGUACCUGAGUAAUACGCCCCGGCUAACUCCGUACCAGCAGCCGCGGUAAUACGUAGGGGGCAAGCGUUAUCCGGAUUUACUGGGUGUAAAGGGAGCGUAGACGGGGUGCCAAGUCUGGAGUGAAAUGCCGCAGCUUAACUGCGGAACUGCGUUUGAAACUGUCGAACUAGAGUGCGGGAGGGGUAAGCGGAAUUCCUAGUGUAGCGGUGAAAUGCGUAGAUAUUAGGAGGAACACCGGUGGCGAAGGCGACUUACUGGACCGUAACUGACGUUGAGGCGCGAAAGCGUGGGGAGCAAACAGGAUUAGAUACCCCGGUAGUC
rnacentral:rRNA from 1 species